UACGAAGGGGGCAAGCGUUGCUCGGAAUCACUGGGCGUAAAGGGCGCGUAGGCGGCCAUUCAAGUCAGGGGUGAAAGCCUGUGGCUCAACCACAGAAUUGCCUUUGAUACUGCUUGGCUAGAGACCGGAAGAGGUAAGUGGAACUGCGAGUGUAGAGGUGAAAUUCGUAGAUAUUCGCAAGAACACCAGUGGCGAAGGCGGCUUACUGGUCCGGUACUGACGCUGAGGCGCGAAAGCGUGGGGAGCAAACAGG
rnacentral:rRNA from 1 species